GCUUCGGUGGUGAAGUUGGUUAUGGCGCCUUCCCAGCAAAGAAGGAGGCCCAGGUUCGACUCCUGGCCGAAGCG